rnacentral:rRNA from 1 species
UACGUAGGUGGCGAGCGUUGUCCGGAUUUACUGGGCGUAAAGUGUGCGCAGGUGGCCGCGCAAGUCGAGUGUGAAAUCCCCGAGCUUAACUUGGGAAUUGCGCUCGAAACUACGUGGCUCGAGUGUGGCAGAGGAAGGUGGAAUUCCACGUGUAGCGGUGAAAUGCGUAGAGAUGUGGAGGAACACCGAUGGCGAAGGCAGCCUUCUGGGCCAACACUGACGCUCAUGCACGAAAGCGUGGGGAGCAAACAGG